rnacentral:rRNA from 1 species
CCUACGGGGGGCAGCAGUGGGGAAUAUUGGACAAUGGGGGCAACCCUGAUCCAGCCAUGCCGCGUGUGUGAAGAAGGCCCUCGGGUUGUAAAGCACUUUCAGUGAGGAAGAACGCCUGGUGGUUUAUACCCAUCAGGAAAGACAUCACUCACAGAAGAAGCACCGGCUAACUCCGUGCCAGCAGCCGCGGUAAUACGGAGGGUGCGAGCGUUAAUCGGAAUUACUGGGCGUAAAGCGCGCGUAGGUGGCUUGAUAAGCCGGUUGUGAAAGCCCCGGGCUCAACCUGGGAACGGCAUCCGGAACUGUCAAGCUAGAGUGCAGGAGAGGAAGGUAGAAUUCCCGGUGUAGCGGUGAAAUGCGUAGAGAUCGGGAGGAAUACCAGUGGCGAAGGCGGCCUUCUGGACUGACACUGACACUGAGGUGCGAAAGCGUGGGUAGCAAACAGGAUUAGAUACCCUAGUAGUC